rnacentral:rRNA from 1 species
UACAGAGGUCUCAAGCGUUGUUCGGAUUCAUUGGGCGUAAAGGGUGCGUAGGUGGCGCCGUAAGUCAGGUGUGGAAUCUCGGGGCUCAACCCCGAAACUGCACUUGAUACUGCGGUGCUCGAGUACUGGAGAGGAGAUUGGAAUUUACGGUGUAGCAGUGAAAUGCGUAGAUAUCGUAAGGAAGACCAGUGGCGAAGGCGAAUCUCUGGACAGUUACUGACACUGAGGCACGAAGGCCCAGGGGAGCAAACGGG